CCAAAAGAGAGACAGCUGUUGGAAACACAUCUAGCAACCAGGCCAAGUGGGCCAGACAAAAGAGAUUUGAAAGAUGUCCAAGAUCCUGACCUCCUGUCUGAACCAGUGGUUCCAUCUCGCUGCUAAAUAUACCCCCAGAAGUAUAGGAUGGAACUGCAUAAAACUGCAUCACCAACUCUGAACUCAAAAUCCAGGAUCGAAGGGAAUUUAGGACCAGAAUGCCAAAAAAAAUGCUGUUC
rnacentral:lncRNA from 1 species